rnacentral:rRNA from 1 species
GAUGAACGCUGGCGGCGUGCCUAAUACAUGCAAGUCGAGCGAACAGAUGAGGAGCUUGCUCCUCUGACGUUAGCGGCGGACGGGUGAGUAACACGUGGAUAACCUACCUAUCAGACUGGGAUAACUUCGGGAAACCGGAGCUAAUACCGGAUAAUAUAUUGCACCGCAUGGUUCAAUAGUGAAAGACGGUUUUGCUGUCACUUAUAGAUGGAUACCCGCCGCAUUAGCUAGUUGGUAAGGUAACGGCUUACCAAGGGAACGAUGCGUAGCCGACCUGAGAGGGUGGUCGGCCACACGGGAAGUGAGCCACGGACCAGACUCCUACGGGAGGCAGCAGUAGGGAAUCUUCCGCAAUGGGCGAAAACCUGACGGAGCAACGCCGCGUGAGUGAUGAAGGUCUUCGGAUCGUAAAACUCUGUUAUUAGGGAAGAACAAAUGUGUAAGUAACUAUGCACGUCUUGACGGUACCUAAUCAGAAAGCCACGGCCAACUACGUG